rnacentral:tRNA from 1 species
UUCCGCCUUAGCUCAGCGGUAGAGCGCUCGCCUGUUAAGCGAUUGGUCGCUGGUUCGAAUCCAGCAGGCGGAGA